UACGUAGGGUGCAGGCGUUAAUCGGAAUUACUGGGCGUAAAGCGUGCGCAGGCGGUUUCUUAAGUCAGAUGUGAAAUCCCCGGGCUUAACCUGGGAACUGCAUUUGUGACUGCAUCGCUGGAGUGCGGCAGAGGGGGAUGGAAUUCCGCGUGUAGCAGGUGAAAUGCGUAGAUAUGUGGAGGAACACCGAUGGCGAAGGCAGCCCCCUGGGUCAAGAUUGACGCGCUCAUGCACGAAAGCGUGGGGAGCAAACAGGA
rnacentral:rRNA from 1 species